GGGCCAAUUUUUGGCAAAAUAGUUUGAGCCCAUUUAGGAAACAUGACAUGGCACCUAGGGUUUUGCAAAGAGGUGGACCCCACACCCAUUACAAGGUGACACACGGCCUUGAACAUUUGUUGCCAGCCGUCACACAAUUUUAAGGGUGCUGCAACAUUUUUUAAGGGACUCUCUCGAUUGUGACAUUUGUUUUUGGGUGGAGAAGUUUUAUUUUGGGAACAUGGUUUCUACAAUGAUGGGGAUUGGUUGGUUGAAGUAUAUUUUCUUUUUCUCUUUCUCGUGCAGCUUUGCAGAACUCACAAUCCAUUGCUUUUUUUUAACUUCAUUUCUUUACUUUGAAUGGAAGAAUGAGUGAUGUUGCGGCUGAUGCAUGGAAUUGCUAACCUUCCUUUUGCAUUUUAUGAAUUGAAUAGUAGAUGAGUUGGUUUGAAAUGAUGGGACGGUGGUAGCCAGAGAAAUAACGUUGGCAGUGUUUCUUUGCUUUUCUUUUGCAUUAUUCCUUUGUAAUAGAAGAAGCUAGCUUGAUUAGAUAGAAGUAGGUGAUUAGGUAGAGCAUGGGCCCACGGUGGUAUCAAUGGAGAGAGGAACUUUCAUUCCUUGCUUGGAGAUUCACAUGUUCAAUUGGUAUGAUGAAGGGGUUGCAACGUUUGGUUAAGAUGGGAGACACGUCUUUGGCUUGAAGAGAGAGAACUAGUCAUUCUUUAGCAAGGUGAGUAGGUAGGAGUAGGUAGUCAUUUGUCCUUGGUGAUGGAGGCUUUUUGGGAGCACAUUUAGUUUCCUUGGAGCAAUUGAGUAUUAACAUGAAGGGAUAAUGUCUCGGCUGGAUGAGAGAAAUAUUCCCAACUUUUAUUUUUCUUUGAAGUCAACACAUGAAAGCCAACAAUUGGGUGGUCACGGCUGCAACUUACUUUUUAGGAGCAUUGCAAUUUCAAUUUCAUUUUGGUAGAUGUCCAUAGCUUACGUUACUUGCUAGAAAAAAANUAAGUUGUUUAUUUCUUUGGCUCUAGAAUAUUUUACAUCAUAUGUUUAGUAGUUUUUCAUCUUUUUAAUUAAGUGUUGCAAUUUUAAUAAUUUUUGNUGUGCUAGAUAAUUGUCUUUGUGAUGUUGGGUUUAGCAUUUUCAUUUAUUUUAAUGUUGUCUAGUAUUUUUGGUAGUGUGAAUUUGACUGUGAUGUUAGCUUAGGUUAAUUGGGUUGGUUGUUAAUAAAGUUACUUUGCUUCCCUGAGACUUUUGAACUUUAAUUGUCAUACUGCUGCUUUGAUUCUGCUGAAUAUUUAAUCUGUUGUCUGCCUGCGAUUAGGUAUACGCUUAGUUUCCUAAUCGG
rnacentral:lncRNA from 1 species